GCGGGGGUUGCCGAGCUGGUCAAGUUAGGGAAAAGGGGUCAGACCAGAGGCGCCGGACUUAAGAUCCGGUCCCGUAGGGGUUCGUGGGUUCAAAUCCCACCCCCCGCACCA
rnacentral:tRNA from 1 species